GGGCCCGGUGCCCCGUAAGACCGUCUGGGCGGAACUGGACCUCGCACCAGGACACGGGCCCCCGCGCACCGAGGCUCACUCGCCCGGGUGAACAUACCCAUCUCAGCUGGAUUUGGACCUUAUUGGCUGCGCUACCUUCAGCGGCGUCAGCAGGACUCCCGAACAUCAGGACGUCCCUCGCAAGGACGGGCACAUCGCAUGAGGGAUGUCCCCGUCG
rnacentral:ncRNA from 1 species